GAGCUUUUCUACAAAGUAGACCCAAUUUUACACUUAUCUCCAGGAGCAGUAUGAGGAUUAUAUAAAGAUAAUCACUGCAAGUGUCCGACAGAGUAGAUUUUCAAUACCUACUACAUACCCCCUUCCCUUCUGCCUCCUUUGUGACUAAUGUGGACACUAGAAGGGGGCCUUUAUCUGCAUGUGAACUUGUCCCGAACGGGAGGGUCAGAGAAAGAGAGAGGAAGGUGGAGAAGCAAAUAUAUUAUUCCACUGAAGAUGAUGCCCUCCAGACCGCUGAGGAAGGACCUACCAAAAGUCAAGUGUACAGGAAAGACACAUAUCAUCAAAUUGAAAAGUAUAAUACAACACUGCUUGUUUUCCCAGUUAAAAAAAAUAAAGAAAUGAUGACUAGAAACUUAAAGUGAAUAAAUAAAGGCAGAGAUCUUGCCAUCUGAUGACUUUGAAAGGUGUUUGAAGAAGAAGGCAUUUCCAAAGACAGGUCUGAUUUUAAGUCCCAUCUCUGCCAUCCAAAAGCCAUCUGACUUUGAGCAAGUUCAUUGUCCAAUCUAGGCUCUAGUAUGGCUAAAUGAAGAGAAAGAGAGUCUUCCAUUGGCCAUCAGCUGUUGCCAGACUAGGAAUGAAAAAAUAAAGUCAUAAAUAUGACAGGAAUAUUGAAAUGCCAUCAAGAGGCAAGGUUUUAUCAUCUAUUCUAGGAAAUAAGAUACUAAGAAAGGUUUGUAUGCAGGAGAAAGAACACGGGAUUUGGAAUCAAACUUAGGUCCAAAUAAGUGUAUCCCUAAUCCCAUGCUACAAGUCAUUUAACACUCCAAGCUGUGUGAUUCAUAAUAUUACAACAUCUAUUUCAUGGAGUUGUUAUGACACAUUAUCCGAUGGUCCAGAAUUGUAUAAACCCCAGACUGGGCACUUGCUGAAGAUUAGGUAGUAAGAUGGGUCAAAAAGAACAUGUAAAGCAAAGAAGGAAGAAUGGAGAACAAAUGCUACCAUCUAAUUUCGAAAAGCCCCAUCCUCCUGCCCCAAUGCAUAGAUGCCUUGCUGUGGGAAGGAACAUAAACUCCAGGAGGUAAAGGACAGCUUGAUUCCUUAAUAGUUAAAAAUGGCCUCCUGGAGUUCCUGUUGUGGCUCAGCAGAAACGAACCUGGCUAGUAUCCAUGAGGAUGUGGGUUCGAUCUCUGGCCUCCCUCAGUGGGUUAAGGAUCCAGCAUUAUCCUGAGCUGUGGUGUAGGUCACAGAUGUGGCUUGGAUCUGGCAAUGCUGUGGCUGUGGCUGGCAGCUACAGCUCCUAUUUGACCCCUAGCCUAGGAACUUCCAUAUACCAUAGGUGCAGCCCUAAAAAGACCAAAAAAAAAAAAAAAGUCUCCUAGUAGUAUGAGGCAGCAAAUGUUCCUGUUUAAAAGCUAGUAUCUUCCCAAGAAAAGACCUAAGAAAUAUUAACAAGAGUCUAAAACAUAGAUAUUGGGGAAAUUCAUUGGGUGACCUUGGGUGAGAUCUUUAAGCAUUUUAAGCCCCAGUUUCCCCUCUGUUAAAUAGAUGCCCCAUCUGCCUCACAAAUUAGUUGUACAGAUCACAUAGAUUCAUGUUUUUAUAAGUGCUGACCAUAACGGUGUAAACACAAAUGUCACUGGUUUGCUCUUGGGGUCACGAUGCUUUUGCUGAUGUUGCUUUGGCUAUUGCCGCUUUGGCUGUUGCCUUGAGAAUUCUAUAAAAGAAAGACAAGUUAAAAUUUCAGCUAUGUUUAUAAAUUAUUCAAGGAACCAGGGCUAAUCUCUGCAGGUUAUCACUAUAUGGAACCAUAAAUCCUUUAGGUAUAAAACAGAUUAUAUACUAAUAGAAAGACAAAUAAAUAAAAGUCAC
rnacentral:lncRNA from 9 species